CGCUUAGGCGUGUGACUGCGUACCUUUUGUAUAAUGGGUCAGCGACUUAUAUUCUGUAGCAAGGUUAACCGAAUAGGGGAGCCGAAGGGAAACCGAGUCUUAACUGGGCGUUAAGUUGCAGGGUAUAGACCCGAAACCCGGUGAUCUAGCCAUGGGCAGGUUGAAGGUUGGGUAACACUAACUGGAGGACCGAACCGACUAAUGUUGAAAAAUUAGCGGAUGACUUGUGGCUGGGGGUGAAAGGCCAAUCAAACCGGGAGAUAGCUGGUUCUCCCCGAAAGCUAUUUAGGUAGCGCCUCGUGAAUUCAUCUCCGGGGGUAGAGCACUGUUUCGGCAAGGGGGUCAUCCCGA
rnacentral:rRNA from 1 species